rnacentral:piRNA from 1 species
UGACGUGGACAAUCACUAGACUCAGUGC